GCGCUACUUAACAAUUUUUAAUUUUAAAAAAUCUAUUAUUUCCACCUCAACUAGCUAUGACAACAAAAGUAUCUGAGGUGUAUCCCUGUCCCAAGAAGGGGUUUAAAAAAAGAAGAUCGAGUCGCAAGAACAUGUUCCUAGUUAACGUCACUCUGGAUAGAAUGGAAACAAACCAGCUGCCCCUAAGGAUUCACGUUAUCCAACGCUACUUAUUUUUAAGAGAACAAUUUCCAAAGAAAGCACUGAAGGAUCUCGUCGCUUGUCCUUUAAUGUCCAAAACUUUCCAAUUAAAAUGCAUAACAAACAAUGAAUUUUGCAAUGUCAGUUGUAUCCUUUCCGGAAUCUCAAUUCCUUGGAGAAAAACUGGCUUCAAAGUCAUCAGUGACAAAAGGAUGAUGUUUCAUGUCAAGAAGUAUGUAGAAAAGUACAUAGCAUUGAAGAAAUCCCAGAAAAAAAUUGGAAUUGGUUAUCUUGAGACAAGAAAUAAAUUU